rnacentral:miRNA from 1 species
UCUCUCCCACUUCCAGCUCUUU